AUUGAACGCUGGCGGCAUGCUUUACACAUGCAAGUCGAACGGUAACAGGCCGCAAGGUGCUGACGAGUGGCGAACGGGUGAGUAAUGCAUCGGAACGUGCCCAGUCGUGGGGGAUAACUACUCGAAAGAGUAGCUAAUACUGCAUGCGAUCUAUGGAUGAAAGCGGGGGACCGUAAGGCCUCGCGCGAUUGGAGCGGCCGAUGUCAGAUUAGGUAGUUGGUGGGGUAAAGGCUCACCAAGCCAACGAUCUGUAGCUGGUCUGAGAGGACGACCAGCCACACUGGGACUGAGACACGGCCCAGACUCCUACGGGAGGCAGCAGUGGGGAAUUUUGGACAAUGGGCGCAAGCCUGAUCCAGCAAUGCCGCGUGCAGGAAGAAGGCCUUCGGGUUGUAAACUGCUUUUGUACGGAACGAAACGGCUCUGGUUAAUACCCGGGGCUAAUGACGGUACCGUAAGAAUAAGCACCGGCUAACUACGUG
rnacentral:rRNA from 1 species